CUAGUACAAUGAUUAAUAAGUCAGCGAUCGCUAGACUAAACAAGUAUAAGUUUAUUGUCGUGUGCAUGUACUUGUUUCGGCGGAUAACGAAGCAGGUGCUUAAAUUUCCAACCACUCCGGUCACAAAAAUCACAACAUAAAUACAAGUCAGCGAAAAAGAUGAAAACAGAUCCUUCUUUUUGUGUCCUAAUUUUUGAACUAUAUAAUUUAUAAGAUCAACAUCAGUAAGGUUUAUCAAUCUGUAGUCCGUGCAGUUUCCCCGGGAACAGUUUGAAACAUAGUCAUCUAAGUUUAAGUCCAAAGUUGCUAAACUUUCCAUGUUCUUUGAUUUAUUCGGUCCCCUACGCUACUCGUUCACAUCUUUUAUAUACCUGAAAUGUAAACCAUAGCAUGGCAUUACAAUGUUUCAUACACUAGCUGCUUACCAGGACCAAGUUGGU
rnacentral:lncRNA from 1 species